GAAGUCUAAGAAUAAUAAUAAAAUGUUGAUUUGUAACUGUAACCGAACAUGACAGAAUCUCUGAAAUGGUCCAAAUGACCACACACCACUCCUCUAUUUGUCCGCCACCACUUCCUCCAUCACCAGUGCCACUCUUCCUCCUCUCUGCGCUCCCAACACUCUCUUUCUUCAUUCUUCUCUUUUCUUCGCUCCCUUUCGCGCCAACUCUGAUCGGUGUUCCUUCCCUCCUUUCGCCUCCUCCUCCCGCCUCAGAUGCAGACCACUCCCUCCCUUCUCUUGCAUCAGAGGCUGCCCAUGGAUUUCCCUCCCGCUUUCAAUCUCCUCACCGAAUUCGGUUGCGGCUUCGUCCUUCUCCGCUCCCUCUCGCGCAUUUUCAAUCUUCUAGGCCUCUUUCUCAUGCUCACCUUCUGCUUCAAGCUUCUGCGCUUCGGCUGGAACACCAAGGGCUCCAUUCGCUUCCUCUGCGACUCCGGCGGCAUCCCCAAACUCCGCUUCUGCCUCGAUAACGUCGCUCGGGAAAAAGUCUCCAAAGCAAAGACCAAACCUUUGAAAAAACCGCGCCACCCAACUUCGAGCUCUUCCUUCCGGAGGCGGCCCAAUGGGUCCGGGGAGAGAGGCAACGCGGUUUCGGAUGAUGAGUCGGAGGGAAAGGUAGAGAACGAGAGAGAGGGUUGCAAUGAGGACGAGGUGUUCGACGUAAUGACGCUGAGAAGAAUCGUGAGGAUGGAGCGGCAGAAGGCCAAUGCGGCGUGCGCAGACCUCGAGAAGGAGAGGACGGCGGCUUCCUCAUCUGCGGAGGAGGCGAUGGCGAUGAUCCUGCGGCUGCAGAGCGAGAAGAGCGCGGCAGAGAUUCAGGCAACGCAGUUCCGGCGGAUGGCGGAGCAGAAGCUGGAUUACGACCAGGAGGUGAUUGAGUCGUUGCAGUGGACGAUCACGCAGCACGAGUUUCAGAAGUGUGAGGUGGAGGAUCGGAUAGGGAUGUGUAAGGAGGAGCUGAGGCAGUUUAUGAGAGAUGAUGAAAUAGAGCGAAUUGAAGAUGAAGUGAGUAGGUGUUUUAUGUGUGAUAAUGAUAAUGAUGAUCCUGAUGGUAAUUCAGUAGGUAGCUCUCCCGAAACCGAAUCACAGACCUUGUAAGUUUUGGAAGGUUAUUAUAUACAAAUGAAAUGCCUUUACAUCGGCC